rnacentral:lncRNA from 1 species
UAAUAAACUAACAACAUUAAAUUAAAGAUGUAUUGACCACUCAUCGAAGUCCACUUGCAAACAUCUUAUUCAUAUUUCGGACAAUGGUAGUACUACAUACAAACAUAAAAAUGAAAUGACAAUUGUACCAAAAAAACAUACUCAGCCGUAGCGUUACGUACUAGAACUCUGCAUACUAGCGCGAACUCAUAACUUUAGGGUUGACAGGCUAGGUAUACGGUAGAUGCACUACUU